GAAUAAGUACUAUACGCUUAUAAACAUAUGCUUGUCUAAAAGAUUCAGCCAUGCAUGUCAAAGUACAUGCCCUAUUAGUGAAACCGCGAUUGGUUCAUUAAAUCAGUUAUGGUUCCUUGGAUCGUACCUUACUACUUAGAUAAUUGUGGCAAUUCUAGAGUUAAUACAUGCAGCAGAGCCCCGACUCUCUGCGGACGGGCGCUUUUUAUUAGACCAAAACCAAUCGGAUUUCGUAUUGUGUGGUGACUCUGUAUAACUUUGGGCUGAUCGCAUGGGCUCGUCCCGGCGACGUAUUUUUCAAAUGUCUGCCUUAUCAACUGUCGAUGGUAGGUUACGCGCCUAACCAUGGUCCUAUAAGCUUAGGAGGAAUCAGGCUUCAGUACCCCAGAAAAUGCCUGACAAACGACUGUUACAUCCAAGGAAGGCAGCAGUUGCGCAAACUACCAACUUCCAGAGCGGGGAGGUAGUGACGAAAAACAACAAUACUGGAUACUUUUGAGAUCCCGUAACUGAAAUGAAUACAGUCUAAAUCCUUUAAUGACGAUCAUCUGGAGGGCAAGUCUCAUGUCAGCAGCCACGGUAAUUUCAGCUCCAUUAGCGUAUAUUGAACUUGUUGCGGUUAAAAAGCUCGCAUUCGGAUCUCAGUUUCAGGCGGGUGGUCCGCCUACCGUUGGUUACUGCCUGUUGUUCCUUGUACGGCAGCCAGCGUCACUAACCACUAUAACGGCUGGGUCUCCGACAACGACUAAAUUGUCUCAAACAAAUUUUUUUUCACUCCAAAAGCAAUGAAGUGCAGCUAACCUACGUUACCUUUCUCAACUCUCUUUCUCGCGCUUUUAAUUUGCAGAAUCUUCAAGUCUGAGCAAAUAUAUAUGAACAUGAAUCAAAAAGAUGACAGUAAAAUUUUUAAAUUCAUCUUAACUAACAGUAAAACUUUAAGCAAUGGCCCCACUGUUACCUAAACUACAAUUUCGUUUUUACACUCUCAAAAUCCAAGACUCCUCUGCACAUGUCUGAUCAGUA
rnacentral:ncRNA from 1 species